rnacentral:rRNA from 1 species
GCCCGGUAGCUAAGUGCGGAAGAGAUAACCGCUGAAAGCAUCUAAGCGGGAAACUUGCCUCGAGAUGAGUCUUCCCUGGGACCUUGAGUCCCCUAAAGGGCCGUUGAAGACGACGACGUAGAUAGGCCGGGUGUGUAAGCGCAGCGAUGCGUUGAGCUAACCGGUACUAAUGACCCGAGAGGCUUAACCUUACAACACCGAAGGUGUUUUAG